rnacentral:lncRNA from 1 species
AAUGAUGUAGCUCAUUGAGUUUCAUUAAGUGCAGGAAAAUAGAAGAAAAGGAAAAAAAAAUUGAAGAUGCACCAUUUUUAGCAAUGCUUUGAUUAAGAAUACAAAUAGGAUGAAAGAGAUGCAACUCUCAAGGUUAGUUCUCUUCAUCUCUUCACACACAUUGAUACAUGAAUAUAUCUUCAUAAGAACUUAAUUACAUGGACUUUUGGAUUUGUCAUGAGUCAUAAUAUUAGGCUUUUGUGUAUGCUUUAAUACCCUCUAGAAAACUUGUCAUGGCUGAAACGCUGAAACAUAUGCUCCUAGUUUGAAAGUCCAAAUAGAUUACUUGACAGGACCAUCAAUAGUCAAAGAAGGAUCAAAUGGAAUAUAUCUACCACCAUUUAGAUAAGAAUGGUAUGAAACCGCUUGGUCAGCUGCCUUAUAAUUGGACUGUUUAGCUGAAUUUCCAAAGAAGUGUUGUUGUGAGGGUUCUAUUCUUACAAAAGUUCUGUAUCUUCUUUUUCCGCCUGACUCAACUAACCAGUUUUAUGAUGAAUGAAUGCUCCCAUAAGUGCAUGCCUACUGGAUCCUACAAACUCUCUACUUCCAAACUUCCUACUACUAACUACUUCCAUGGUUACAAAUAAUUAGCAGUUUUAUGUCUAUUCCCCAUAAAUAGGCUUCAAGACUUUACCAAACUGUGUCGUAGGCUCGAAGUUAAUAUUGCAAAUGUUCUUUGGGGCUGUUGAGUUUCUCCUGAAAACUUCUUCUCUUUGUGGCCCAUGAGUUGUGAACAAUGGACUAGAGGGAAAAUAACAAACAGUCUAGGCCGCAUACUAUAAAGUAUAAACGAUGCCCAAGUCAUUAACCGGUUACCAUUAUUGGCUGAAAAGGGAAUGUUUAGUUUUUCUUACAAAAACACACAUUUAAAGUUAUGAUAUUCGAUAGUGUGUCGAAUUGUAAAAUAUCAUUUGAAUAUUGUGAGAAAGUUUAUCAUGUUUGAAGGACGUGUCUUGAAAAGUUACUCAGCUGUUAUGUUGAGCAUAUUGUAUCAGUCGAAAGGGUGAGUGUUCGGUUUAAUUAAUUUUGGUCCGUGAAGAAAGUUACUGAAUGAAUCUUGUUACUAUAUAUAUAUAUAUAUAUCGGUCAGAAUCCGAAUCAGUUGAUCUAGAAGCACAUCGUUGGGUCACUAAGUCAUGGUACUGUUGUUCAUGAUUUUUCUACAACCUGUUUAUAGUUUCAUUUCAUGUGAGUUUUAAUGCCAUUCAUACAUCAUAUAACAUAUAUAAACACUCUUAUAAAGUAACACAUAUAUACUUAGGAGACAUCACAUAAAGCACACAAUAAUUGCCAGAAACUACACCAGACUCUUUACAUAUACAAACAUACUGACAUACAUAUCUUAGGCGCUUCCUUGUCUCAGUCAUGUCUUGUCUUGUGUGUUUCUAACCGGUUCCAUCGUCGCCACCACCGUCUCCUCCUUUGCCACCCCAGUUAUCAUAGUUUUGUCUUGGAAUGUUAUGAUGGUUGUCUACUCCUCUUGCUGAUGGAAUGACGGUUGUACCCUUUUGAACAUGUUGAAGUCUCUGAUUUUGGCUGUGUAUCCCUCUCCCGCCUCCCUCAACAUUAAAAGAGCUCAUAAACACCAUUAUUACCACCACCACCACCACCAGGACAGGCCUUGUCUGAAUUUUCAUUUCUUUUUGUUUUUGUUUUGUUUCUUGCAAUAUGUCGUACGUCCUUUUAUAGAAAUUAGAAGUAAAGUUUAGGAGUAUGGGAAUUUCUUACAAGUGUUUUCUGUGUGUUCCACUAGGAAAAGACAAAACAAAAUAUUGAUUUGAUGAGCCUUUAAGUGAUGUGAUUGUUUGUUAUUGUUGUGGCUUGUGACGAUGAUAUAAUAAUAAUCACCACUAGUCCAAAUAGGAAAGUUCCACCGUUAAAGUGGUGGAGAAGGCAUAAGAAUCAACAAGAAGAAUUGGUUAGUUGCCCAAAUAGGAAACUUCCACCAUUUACAGUCGCCUGAUAUUUUAAAUUAAUAUUUUGUUUCUGUAAAUUCAAAGUUAAUGGGAUGGUAACAACUUAUCGAAAGUGAAAAAAAAAAAAUCCAAAUAAUUAAAGAUGAUAUUCAUUCAAUAAUUGUACUUUUUUUCUCCCAAGAGCAUGCAAUAAAUUUGAGACAACUGUCUCUUCUUCGGAAUUAUCUAGACCCACUACAUAGCAAUUAGCAUCGCAGUCCCAUCGUGCUAAUGGCUAAAUGAUCAAUCGCAAUUAAUUUCCUCACAACAAUGAUUUGGUAGAGCUUUUUUUUUUUGUCAAACAUUAAACUUCAUUAACUAAAUUUCUGGGUUACAAGAGGAAAUUAGCCAUCCUCUUUGAUCAUUACAAUAAAACAUAAAAGCAACAGAAAUUAAACUAGAUAGAUCUUCAAAUGCCUGUAAAUCUGAGACGAGUCUCGACUCCAUCGAUUGAAGGUUCACAGCAUAGCCGGAUGGUUGAAACUUAGUCACUUUGAAAUGUGACGUUAGACACCAACCCCCACCUACGAAAUACGACAAAGCGAAUUCGAUUGUCUCUUCUGGUCCCGUACAAACCUCUACGCAAGAGAACAAACUGGUGAGGAAGUUGGAAUUUUUCAUCAGAAAUAAUUCUGAGAGAACUCCUCUCCAAGAAAAGGAAUGAGAUGAAACAGAUCUCUCCCUUUGACAUGAGGAAUGUGAAAAUUGUCUUUUCCUGAGAAGGAAGAAAGACAUAAGUGAUCUCUCCUCUAAUGGGAAGGAGGAUGAAAGUGAUCUCUCCCAGGCUGAGGAGGAAGUUGAUGAAGCCUCUCGAUAUAACAUCGAGUGAAUACCCUUAGUGGUUUGAUUAUCACAGAUAAACAUACUUAUGAAAAUUGAUGGGUUUGAAAAGGAGCCAACGUCCAGUACCGAACACAAUUUAAUAAAGCCCAUAUAUUUACCACCGUGAAGAUUGGAGAGUGGAACGUCGGUGGAUCGGUGUUGCUCGGCCGAUUCUUCACCGGUGGAGUCUUGCCUGCAUUUCAUUUGGCCUCCACUUUCAGGGAAGAGGCACUUAGCUGCGAUAGAGGUCGUUGGCAGGUGGAGAAGCGGCGUUCGAGAUCUGCUCGGGAAAGCACCGCACAGAUCUAUAGAGAUUGGCGGCGAGGGAGGAUAAGUCAUGUCCUGUAAAGAGGCCGUAGUCUUCAAGAGGGGAACAUCCAGUGGCUCUGGUGGAGGGUCCGGUGGGUCAGGCGGUUCUGGUGGUAGAGCUAAAUCAAUCAAACAAAGCAACCAUCAUAACUGGGUCUUAUUGGGCCUGUAUGAAGCUCAUAAUAAGCACGAUAGACUUUCUGUUUGAAUGCAGGGAAGUUUGUUCCGGAUCGAAUUCUAAUAUCAAGUUAUCAACGAUGAAAAUGUGAGUUUUCAUAUAUUUUGGACUAGUAGAUAAAUAUAUACAAAUUCGUGUUUUGCUCGCGUUCUCGGAUACAGAACUUGCGAAGACUGUAUCUCCUAAGGCUCAAGGGCGGAGUCGUGCAAGGUAAGCGUCUGGAAUACCAUUUCAUUUCUUCAAAGGUUUUGGUCCUUUUGGAAUUCUAUUUUUUCAGUAAACAAAAAAGGUUUUGGAAUUCAUCAUUACCUCAAUAAAUUCACUUUCCCAAAUGAAAUCUAAACCAUGCGGUUGUAGUCUAAUAGACUAAUAGUAAGAAACGAAUUUGGAACAAGACUUUAAUCCGUCGGUCUAAAUCAUGUUAAAAUCUAAAUUGUCAUUUGCUUGGAUCAGACGACAUGUAAUCAUACUUUAGACUUCAUUUAAAACCCGAAGACAGAUUACUCGUCUAUACUCUCUCUUAAAAGAUUAGUUGGACUAUGGUUCAGAUAAAUGUCAAUCAAAAAUAAAAUAAAAUCUAAACCAUGCUCGUUUAGUAAUCUUUUAUCAUAGAAAUAUGGAAGCCACCGGAGUUCUUUGUUCGUUCGCGAGUGAUAAGGACUAUUCGCGAGUGAUAAGGACUAUUGCUAAUCCUAUGUGAAAGUAGUAUAAAAGUGUCAAUCUAAUCCUAAAAGAUAGCGAAGCAAAGAUAAUGCAAGUAAAUGCUCAAUCUAAGUAGUUAUCAAUUCAAGAACCAAAUAAACAAGAGCAAUAUCUAAAACUUUCAAUCAAAUGAUUAGGUAAAACUUGUGGGCUUAAGGCAAUUGAUUCAAGGCAAUUAGUUUUCAAGUCAAUGUGUUAACUUUAAGCAAUCACAAGUUUCUAUAGGCCUAAAACACAAAUAAAAAUCAAUCCUUUCCCAAAGUAAAGAUUCUAUGCAAUCAUGAGUCAAACAUCAAUUUUCAUUGGUUCAAAUCAUUCAGACAUGCAUUAUAUUUAAGUCUACUAACCAUUUAGCAGUUCUAACAUCAAAUCCCUUUAGUUAUUUAGGCUAGAGCAAUAUCAAGUUCAGUCAAAGAUUUUAACAUACACGUUAUGGGUAUAAAAUAGUUUAUUAUCAAGAUAAAAGUGAUCAAGUCAAAUCAAAAAUUAAAAACACUUGCAUAGAAACAAAGAUCUAACCAUUAAUCACCUUAACUCUUCACUAAUCAUCCUAAAUCUACCUAACCCAUGGAUUCAAAAGGUAACUAACUACUCGCUAAUAGACAUGAUAAACCCAAAACCAAUAGUGAUUGAAGGUUAAUCAUGAUUAGUGAUCAAGAUAAUCCAAUAAACACAAGACAAAGAUGAAAAGAGGCUAAAGAUUGAAUCUUUCACCAAAAUAUGUUCGUGUCUAGAGAAAACAAGAUAGAUCCUAAGAAUCUAACAAUACUAAAAGCAUGAUAGUAAGCCCUCUAAGCGUGUCCACGUAAGUUAAUAUAUUCAGCUAAUCAGAGAUUACUAGCUAUUUUGCCAUGUCAUAACAAUUUUAAGUCGACCAAUACAAAAACCGGGCAAGGCGUCUGGGCCAUUAGUAAUAUCCAGUGGCCAAUACGAAACCCAUCUCAUUAAUAUCAAAUCUCCAAUGAAAGCCAUUAUCGUGGCGACUCUUCUUUUUCAUCAUCAUCAUCAUCAUCAUCAUCAUCAUCAUCAUCAUCAUCAUCAUCAUCGCUUGGGAUCACAACAAUUUCCUGUUAGCACAACCCACUCUCCAUCAAUCAAUCAGGUUCUUUACUACUCUUUUCAUGCUUUCGUUUCAACUCCCUUUGUUUAUCCUCCUAUAUAAAUCAUUGAAUAUCAAAAUUUUGAUCCAAGCAAAAUACUCUUGAAACGUGUAUUCGCAAACAUUUAAGAAAUCUCUUAUUUCGAUUACUAUUUUGGUCAAGGUAGGUAUAUUCAGUAACAGAUAAAUCCAUUACUUCAGCUCAGGAAACCGAUGGGCUGCAUCUACUAAAGUCAGGUCCGCGCUUGAACCAAAACAUUCGAUACAAACUUAUGGGGCCUACUAUUUUUGUCAAAAUUUUAGGGUCUAUUUUUUCAAUGUUAUUACUUAUAAAUAUAUCAAUUUGACAAUUUGUUAUCUCACAAGAAAGAUUAAAUGGUUUGGCUAUGUUGUCGAUUGAAAAAGAUAUGAUCAAGAACCUUGAUUACGAAAGUUUGAUGGAUGAUUUUGCAGAAAAAAAUGCAAGAAGAUCUAUAUUUAAGAUCUGAUAAGUUUUUUUAGUUUUGAGGAUAUUGUAAUUUUCUUAUUAUAAACUUGAGUUUUUUAUCGACAUAUGUUUAUAUAUUAUCUAGGGGCUUCAGUUUUGUAUUUCGUAUUGGACCAUGAAUAUCUCAGGACCGGCACUGACUGAAGUAAGUUUUCAAAGAUUUUUUGCUGUCUUUUUACCUGUCUGUGGAAAACGAUGAUGCAGAGGCAUCUGUUCAUAGCUCAAAACAAGCAAAUUAUUUGCAUCUGCCAUAAUGGAGACGAAAAUCCAUUUGAUUUUUCCUAACUCUGUUCUGUAAAUGUGUAAAUUGUUUACUUUCUUAAUCUUGCUUUGUUUUCUGUAAACUUCAUUGAUUAGAAUUUUCGCCUUUGAGUUACUUUCUGAAACGUGACCUCGGAUGAAUAGGUUCGUCUUAAUCUUUCUUUGAUGAUACACAGAGACUUGAGAAGACAAUCUGAUUUUGGUUUGUCAUCUUUUUUUGAUGAUACACAGGGACCUGAGAAGGAGAUCAGAUUUUGGGAAAAAUUGACAGUGAGAUGAGACAAGGAUUAAGAUGGGAACAAAGACGAGACUAGAAUGGACCGGUGAAUUUUUGAAAUUUUGAAGUAAGCCCACACG